CAGACAGAAUGCAGGCUUGUGAACUCGCUGCACUGAUAUUGCUGACUGUAGUGAGCUGCUCCAGACAGUAUGAAGCGCAGCACAGAAACCAGGACCAGAGGACACAGUUCUUUACAGUGUUGAGGGGAUGAAAUGGGUUUCCUAGCCAUGUUGUUGAUGCUGAAUCAUUGGGAUCCUUUAAGGCCUGACUUGACAACAGCUGUAAAAACAAGUUCAGUUUACUGAGCAAGACUGUGGAAACUCAGAUAAUUUAGUGAACGUAAUAAUGCCAAAGUAAUGUAAUUCAGUUCAUGCAACUUGAAUAAUGUGAGCUUCAGUAAAUUAUUAUUUGACUAAAGUUUUAUUAGAAAAAUGACUCAAAGAUCACUGCUAUGUUUGAGAAACUGAAUUGCAUAGUAGUUCCUACAUCUACAACAGGGAAUCAC